rnacentral:rRNA from 1 species
UAGUCCACGCCGUAAACGAUGAGUACUAGUUAUUGGAGGUAUUGACUCCUUCAGUGACGUAGCUAACGCGUUAAGUACUCCGCCUGGGAAGUACGGUCGCAAGACUAAAACUCAAAGGAAUUGACGGGGCCCGCACAAGCGGUGGAUUAUGUGGUUUAAUUCGAAGCAACGCGCAAAAACCUUACCUAGGCUUGAACUCCUGAGAAUCUCGAGUAAUUUGAGAGUGUCCGCAAGGAAAUUCAGUGAGAGGUGCUGCAUGGCUGUCGUCAGCUCGUGUUGUGAAAUGUUGGGUUAAGUCCCGCAACGAGCGCAACCCUUGUCCUUAGUUGCCAGCACGUAAUGGUGGGAACUCUAGGGAGACUGCCGGUGACAAACCGGGAGGAAGGUGGGGACGACGUCAAGUCAUCAUGGGCCUUUAUAUCCCGGGGCUACACACACGCUACAAUGGGUCAGGGACAAUAGGUUGCCAAGCCGCGAGGGUGGAGCUAAUCCUCUAAACUUGAUCUCAGUUC